rnacentral:sRNA from 1 species
AACAUAAGCAACGCAAACCCUACCUACUUUUGCGUCCUUGCGGCCCUAUAGCCGCGCCAGUUUGAAUACGUAUAA